rnacentral:rRNA from 1 species
AGGUGCUGCACGGCUGUCGUCAGCUCGUGUCGUGAGAUGUUGGGUUAAGUCCCGCAACGAGCGCAACCCUCGUGUUUAGUUACUAACAGUUCGGCUGAGGACUCUAAACAGACUGCCUGGGUAACCAGGAGGAAGGUGAGGACGACGUCAAGUCAUCAUGGCCCUUACGGCCAGGGCUACACACGUGCUACAAUGGGGUAUACAAAGAGCCGCAAUACCGUGAGGUGGAGCAAAUCUCAUAAAAUAUCUCCCAGUUCGGAUUGAAGUCUGCAACUCGACUUCAUGAAGUUGGAAUCGCUAGUAAUCGUAGAUCAGCAAUGCUACGGUGAAUACGUUCCCGGGUCUUGUACUCACCGCCCGUCACACCAUGGGAAUUGAAUUCAUUCGAAGCGGGGAUGCUAAAAUAGCUACCUUCCACAGUGGAUUUAGUAACUAGGGUGAAGUCGUAGCAACAUC